rnacentral:rRNA from 1 species
GACGAACGCUGGCGGCGCGCCUAACACAUGCAAGUCGAACGAGCGAGAGAGAGCUUGCUUUCUCGAGCGUGUGGCGAACGGGUGAGUAACGCGUGAGGAACCUGCCUCAAAGAGGGGGACAACAGUUGGAAACGACUGCUAAUACCGCAUAAGCCCACAGGUCGGCAUCGACCAGAGGGAAAAGGAGCAAUCCGCUUUGAGAUGGCCUCGCGUCCGAUUAGCUAGUUGGUGAGGUAACGGCCCACCAAGGCGACGAUCGGUAGCCGGACUGAGAGGUUGAACGGCCACAUUGGGACUGAGACACGGCCCAG